AAACCAACAGGGAUUGCCUUAGUAGUGGCGAAUGAAGCGGCAAGAGCUCAAAUUUGAAAUCUGGUAUCUUCGAUAUCCGAGUUGUAAUUUGAAGAAAACAAUCUUGGAAUUGGUCCUUGUCUAUGUUCCUUGGAACAGGACGUCACAGAGGGUGAGAAUCCCGUGCGACAAGGAACUCUUUUCUAUAUAAGAUGUCUUCGAA
rnacentral:rRNA from 1 species